CAGAGCCCUUAGAAGAUACUGUGGUGAUCUAAUCCCUUCUUGACAGCUACAUCGUUCAUGUUGGCUGAACUUUAGGGCAAUAAAUUGGUUAGUCAAAAGAUGAUUUCAGAUCUGCAAGUCAAGCUUCAGAAAAAUGUGAAGCUGUAGCUGAUCUCAAGAAAUUUAUUAAUGCAAGGCACUCAUGGAUGAACAAGAUACCAUGGUGGAUUACUGAGAUAAGUGGCUACCAAUCAAAGCCCAAAGAUACAGGUCGAAGUUUCGUGGAUUGUUUGCGAGAUAGAGUUGAGCACGAGCUCUCUUUUAUUCAUAAACAGGAUCAGCAGAAGUCUAUAGGAUUUAGUCAAAAAUAUGUUGUAGGAUCAGCAGAUCUG